CGUGCCAGCAGCCGCGGUAAUACGGAGGGUGCAAGCGUUAAUCGGAAUUACUGGGCGUAAAGCGCACGCAGGCGGUUUGUUAAGUCAGAUGUGAAAUCCCCGGGCUCAACCUGGGAACUGCAUCUGAUACUGGCAAGCUUGAGUCUCGUAGAGGGGGGUAGAAUUCCAGGUGUAGCGGUGAAAUGCGUAGAGAUCUGGAGGAAUACCGGUGGCGAAGGCGGCCCCCUGGACGAAGACUGACGCUCAGGUGCGAAAGCGUGGGGAGCAA
rnacentral:rRNA from 1 species